AUUGAACGCUGGCGGCAUGCCUUACACAUGCAAGUCGAACGGUAACAGGUCUUCGGAUGCUGACGAGUGGCGAACGGGUGAGUAGUACAUCGGAACGUGCCCAGACGUGGGGGAUAACGAGGCGAAAGCUUUGCUAAUACCGCAUACGAUCUAAGGAUGAAAGCAGGGGACCGCAAGGCCUUGCGCGUUUGGAGCGGCCGAUGGCAGAUUAGGUAGUUGGUGGGAUAAAAGCUUACCAAGCCGACGAUCUGUAGCUGGUCUGAGAGGACGACCAGCCACACUGGGACUGAGACACGGCCCAGACUCCUCCGGGAGGCAGCAGUGGGGAAAUUUGGACAAUGGGCGAAAGCCUGAUCCAGCAAUGCCGCGUGCAGGAUGAAGGCCUUCGGGUUGUAAACUGCUUUUGUACGGAACGAAAAGGCUCUGGCUAAUACCUGGGGCACAUGACGGUGCCGUAAGAAUAAGCACCGGCUAACUACGUGCCAGCCGCCGCGGUAAUAC
rnacentral:rRNA from 1 species